rnacentral:rRNA from 1 species
GACGAACGCUGGCGGCGUGCCUAAUACAUGCAAGUCGAGCGAAGUUUUUCUGGUGCUUGCACUAGAAAAACUUAGCGGCGAACGGGUGAGUAACACGUAAAGAACCUGCCUCAUAGACUGGGACAACUAUUGGAAACGAUAGCUAAUACCGGAUAACAGUAUUUCUCGCUUGAGAGAUAUUUAAAAGUUGGUUAUGCUAACACUAUGAGAUGGCUUUGCGGUGCAUUAGCUAGUUGGUGGGGUAAAGGCCCACCAAGGCGACGAUGCAUAGCCGACCUGAGAGGGUGAUCGGCAACACUGGGACUGAGACACGGCCCAGACUCCUACGGGAGGAAGCAGUAGGGAAUCUUCCGCAAAGGGCGAAAGCCUGACGGAGCAACGCCGCGUGAGUGAAGAAGGAUUUCGGUUCGUAAAGCUCUGUUGUUAGGGAAGAAUGGAUAUGUAGUAACUAUACAUGUAAGAGACGGUACCUAACCAGAAAGCCACGGCUAACUACGUG